rnacentral:rRNA from 1 species
UACGGAGGGGGGCUAGCGUUUGUUCGGAAUUACUGGGCGUAAAGCGCGCGUAGGCGGCUUUGUAAGUUAGAGGUGAAAGCCCGGAGCUCAACUCCGGAAUUGCCUUUAAGACUGCAUCGCUAGAAUCAUGGAGAGGUGAGUGGAAAUUCCGAGUGUAGAGGUGAAAAUUUCGUAGAUAUUCGGAAGAACACCAGUGGCGAAGGCGACUCACUGGACAUGUAUUGACGCUGAGGUGCGAAAAGCGUGGGGGAGCAAAACAGGG